CCUACGGGAGGCAGCAGUGGGGAAUUUUGGACAAUGGGGGCAACCCUGAUCCAGCAAUGCCGCGUGAGUGAAGAAGGCCUUCGGGUUGUAAAGCUCUUUUGUCAGGGAAGAAAAGGUCGUGGCUAAUAUCCACGACUGCUGACGGUACCUGAAGAAUAAGCACCGGCUAACUACGUGCCAGCAGCCGCGGUAAUACGUAGGGUGCAAGCGUUAAUCGGAAUUACUGGGCGUAAAGCGUGCGCAGGCGGUUUCGUAAGUCUGUCGUGAAAUCCCCGGGCUUAACCUGGGAAUGGCGAUGGAGACUGCGAGGCUAGAGUUUGGCAGAGGGGGGUAGAAUUCCACGUGUAGCAGUGAAAUGCGUAGAGAUGUGGAGGAACACCGAUGGCGAAGGCAGCCCCCUGGGUCAAAACUGACGCUCAUGCACGAAAGCGUGGGGAGCAAACAGGAUUAGAUACCCUGGUAGUCCACGCCCUAAACGAUGUCUACUAGUUGUUGGGUCUUAAUUGACUUAGUAACGCAGCUAACGCGUGAAGUAGACCGCCUGGGGAGUACGGUCGCAAGAUUAAAACUCAAAGGAAUUGACGG
rnacentral:rRNA from 1 species